GUCACUUUGACAUUUCUUACUGCAAGACAAGAAUUUCAGGCUAGGUUUAGGAUUCAGAUUUGAUGGUUGUGAUUAAGGCAUUGCAAAAAUCUCAGUGAAUAAACCUCAAACUCAAACCUUUCAAGUUAAAUUGUGCAUUUUAAAGUAUUACAACUAUUUCAAACGCUCGUAGAAAGCUGUUUAGUUUACGUGGGCGGUGUUUAGUUAACAUUUCGUAUUAUCUCAGUUUUAUUGAGAGCAAAAACUAAAAGAACACCGCGUUUUGUGCAUUUGACUAGUAGUCAGAAAUAGUGAGAUAUGGCUUGCUAGUUGUGAACUGCUUUCAAAUAUAUUGUAUGUUAGAUGAUGGUGUUAAUUUGAAGAAACAAGUCGUCGGUGCGCGG